rnacentral:rRNA from 1 species
AGUGAACGCUGGCGGUAGGCCUAACACAUGCAGGUCGAACGGCAGCACAGUAAGAGCUUGCUCUUACGGGUGGCGAGUGGCGGACGGGUGAGGAAUACAUCGGAAUCUACUUUUUCGUGGGGGAUAACGUAGGGAAACUUACGCUAAUACCGCAUACGACCUACGGGUGAAAGCAGGGGAUCUUCGGACCUUGCGCGAUUGAAUGAGCCGAUGUCGGAUUAGCUAGUUGGCGGGGUAAAGGCCCACCAAGGCGACGAUCCGUAGCUGGUCUGAGAGGAUGAACAGCCCAACGGGAAAUGAGAAACGGUCCAGACCCCCACGGGAGGCAGGGGGGGGGAAUUUGGGGAAAGGGGGGAAAGCCUGAUCCAGCCAACCCGGGGGGGUGAAGAAGGCCUUCGGGUUGUAAAGCCUUUUUGUUGGGAAAAAAAAGCAGCAGGUUAAUACCCCGCUGUUCUGACGGUACCAAAAAAAAAAGCACCGGCUAAUUUCGU